rnacentral:rRNA from 1 species
GUCGGGUAAGUUCCGACCUGCACGAAUGGCGUAACGAUGGCCACACUGUCUCCUCCUGAGACUCAGCGAAGUUGAAAUGUUUGUGAUGAUGCAAUCUCCCCGCGGAAAGACGGAAAGACCCCAUGAACCUUUACUGUAGCUUUGUAUUGGACUUUGAACAGAUCUGUGUAGGAUAGGUGGGAGGCUUUGAAGCAGUGCCGCUAGGUGCUGUGGAGCCAACGUUGAAAUACCACCCUGGUGUGUUUGAGGUUCUAACCUUGGCCCGUUAUCCGGGUUGGGGACAGUGUAUGGUGGGCAGUUUGACUGGGGCGGUCUCCUCCCAAAGCGUAACGGAGGAGUUCGAAGGUACGCUAGUUACGGUCGGACAUCGUGACGAUAGUGCAAUGGCAUAAGCGUGCUUAACUGCGAGACUGACAAGUCGAGCAGGUACGAAAGUAGGUCAUAGUGAUCCGGUGGUUCCAAAUGGAAGGGCCAUCGCUCAUCGGAUAAAAGGUACUCCGGG